GUAGUCAUCGUCGUUUGAGCCUUCUUGGUAUGGGUUUGUGCAAAAUACAAGACCCAGCUUAAAGCUGGACCCAUACAAAUUACGCCUAAGAGCGAGAAUAACAAGCUCGAAUAACAAAUCACCAUAAUGUUGUAAUCAUCAUGCAAAAAUCGCAGUGACAGCAACAGCGCCUAACCAAAACACCAUCCUUCAACAUUUCUAUGAUCUUUUUUUUUUUUCCUUCAGCUUUUGUAUAGCCUUUAAUUGACUUGGUAGAAAAUUCAGUUGAAUGAGUUGGUGAUUACACACGCAGUUAUCAAAUAGUUAAAGUAGUAAAGUUACAACACACACUGCGUGAAUACAAAUACAAUUUUAAGCAUAUGAUCAAAAAUGAUUAGUUUUCAAAACGGCAUGAAUUUAGCAUUAUUAAAUCUUGAACUAUUAAUAAAAAAAACUCUUUAAGCAAUAUUCCAAUUAAAAUCUCGCUUUCAAGAAUCAAAAGAAAUUUCUUAUAGUUUUCAGAAAUUAAUUAUAGUAGUAUCAAAUGUCUAAAGAUAUAGCCAUAUAUACAUCACAUAUGGAUUUGUUCAAACAAAAUUAAGCUUGUCGGUAAACACGAACAUCGCAACGUGUAAAAAAACGAAACGUUGAACACCAGGUACAACUUUCCAGACAAAUAACGCUUAGCAUGAAAAGUCCUAUUCCUAAGAAAGAUAAAAAUUGUUGUUAUGGUCUAUACCGCUGAUCAAACGCACUUCCCACCUCCGCUUUUCCCAAGGAGCGAAGCUAGCGUGUGUUUCGACAUUAUAUGAAAUGUUACAUAGAUAAGGUAAACAAAUUUAGACGGCCGACAAUAUUAACUUUGCAAUGUCUAGGUCCACACCCACGUCAAGUCGUCACAUCAAGAUCCACACCCUACUUUUAAAAAAUGACUGUUCUGCUUCCAGUCUAAAAUCCUGGCCUGGCAAGUUCAUUAACUUUGAAACUGUAAGGCGACAUAAUCGGCAAAUAAACUGCAUUACAAAUACUCGUAUUCCAUUGCACCGCUAACGAAAGCAAAAAAGAAACAAUUAAAUCGAUAGCAAGUUCUUGUUUGGCAACAGUCAUGAUAGAUUUUAUAAUGGCAUAUUUCCUGGUCUGCACGGUCUUGGUUCUAUUUUUUAUGCUUUAUACUCGGAUGCAGCAGAGCUUCUGACGGACGGACGGAAUUUUAAAUUGUUUUUGAUCCCAUAAACCGGCCAUCGCUCAAAAUCCUUUCGCUUUUGUAAAAUUAGGUUAACUAAUAAUAGAAAAUAAUUCAAUGAUUA